CCCUUAGAUGUUCUGGGCCGCACGCGCGCUACACUGACGAAUGCAACGAGCUUAUAACCUUGGCCGAAAGGUCUGGGUAAUCUCCAAAUUUCGUCGUGAUGGGGAUAGAUUAUUGCAAUUAUUAAUCUUCAACGAGGAAUGCCUAGUAAGCGCAAGUCAUCAGCUUGCGUUGAUUACGUCCCUGCCCUUUGUACACACCGCCCGUCGCUCCUACCGAUUGAAUGGUCCGGUGAAGCGUUCGGACCGUGGCCUUUGGACGGUUCGCCGUCUGUUGGCUGCGGGAAGUUCGUUAAACCUUAUCAUUUAGAGAAAGGAGAAGUUGUAACA
rnacentral:rRNA from 1 species